UACGGAGGGUGCAAGCGUUAUUCGGAUUUACUGGGCGUAAAGGGCGCGUAGGCGGUCGUAUAAGUCAGAUGUGAAAGCCCGGGGCUCAACCCCGGAAGCGCAUUUGAUACUGUACGGCUUGAGUAUGGGAGAGGGAAGGGGAAUUCCUGGUGUAGAGGUGAAAUUCGUAGAGAUCGGGAAGAACACCAGUGGCGAAAGCGCUUUGCUGGGCCUGCACUGACACUGAGGGACGAAAGCUAGGGGAGCGAAAGGG
rnacentral:rRNA from 1 species